rnacentral:rRNA from 1 species
AGGAUUAACGCUGGCGGCGUGCCUGACACAUGCAAGUCGAACGAGGCCGCAAGGCCGAGUGGCGGACGGGUGAGUAACACGUGACCAACCAACCUCGAAGUUGGGAAUAGCUCUGCGAAAGUAGGGGUAAUACCGAAUGUGGCCCAGGGCGGGCAUCCGCCUUGGUCUAAAGAUUCAUCGCUUCGAGACGGGGUCGCGGCCUAUUAGCUUGUUGGUGGGGUAACGGCUCACCAAGGCGAUGAUGGGUAGCUGGUCUGAGAGGACGACCAGCCACACUGGGACUGAGACACGGCCCAGACUCCUACGGGAGGCAGCAGUGAGGAAUCUUCCGCAAUGGGCGAAAGCCUGACGGAGCAACGCCGCGUGUGGGAUGAAGGCUCUAGGGUUGUAAACCACUGUCGGAGGGGACGAUCGUGACGGUACCCUCCAAGAAACGCCCCGGCUAACUACGCGCCAGCAGCCGC